rnacentral:rRNA from 1 species
CUGGAGGUAUCAGAAGUGCGAAUGCUGACAUAAGUAACGAUAAAGCGGGUGAAAAGCCCGCUCGCCGGAAGACCAAGGGUUCCUGUCCAACGUUAAUCGGGGCAGGGUGAGUCGACCCCUAAGGCGAGGCCGAAAGGCGUAGUCGAUGGGAAACAGGUUAAUAUUCCUGUACUUGGUGUUACUGCGAAGGGGGGACGGAGAAGGCUAUGUUGGCCGGGCGACGGUUGUCCCGGUUUAAGCGUGUAGGCUGGUUUUCCAGGCAAAUCCGGAAAAUCAAGGCUGAGGCGUGAUGACGAGGCACUGCGGUGCUGAAGCAACAAAUGCCCUGCUUCCAGGAAAAGCCUCUAAGCAUCAGGUAACAUCAAAUCGUACCCCAAACCGACACAGGUGGUCAGGUAGAGAAUACCAAGGCGCUUGAGAGAACUCGGGUGAAGGAACUAGGCAAAAUGGUGCCGUAACUUCGGGAGAAGGCACGCUGAUAUGUAGGUGAAGUCCCUCGCGGAUGGAGCUGAAAUCAGUCGAAGAUACCAGCUGGCUGCAACUGUUUAUUAAAAACACAGCACUGUGCAAACACGAAAGUGGACGUAUACGGUGUGACGCCUGCCCGGUGCCGGAAGGUUAAUUGAUGGGGUUAGCGCAAGCGAAGCUCUUGAUCGAAGCCCCGGU